CAUAAUCCUAGAUUUAAGGAUCUACUUGAAUUUAUAAACUGCUGAGCAAUUUUCAGUUAUCUCCAAGAGGUAAAAAAAAAAGGAAGAAGAGAGAAGAACUGACAUGAUCCUCGACCUCGGUUGCAUGACCCACCAGACCUCUCUUUAGUUUUUCGAUUCAUAUUCUGGUCGCAUUCUGCUUCUUCUUCAGAUCUGGCUCCUUUUAACUGUUCGACUCUGGUACGUCUCUUUCUUGCUUACUCCAGUCCACCUCAGUCUUCUUCAUCAAAGUUUUCAACUAGUUUUUGUUCUCUUUCGACCUCUCAUGAUAUAAGAGCUAUUGGGAUUUACAACAAAAAAGUGGAUUUCCAUGACGAACCAAUUUAAGACAGAAGACGUGCAUGUAUCACAGUUAAUGCAUCUACGAGAAGAGAAAAUUCCUAACCUCGUAAAACUCAUAUACGAUAUAAAAUUAGUUUUAUAGGAUUGGCAUGAAUAAAUUAGGAUUGUCAUCACAAUAUUGCGAUUUUUUUUUUUUUUUGCAUUUCCGAUGUGCCCGGGUGUAUUAACAAAAGAAAAAUGUCACUCCGUUGGUCCGUUUAAAAAACAUUAAAGAAGAAUCAGACCCGAAUAAAUAAUCUGAAAUGGAUCGAUGUUUUUCUUCCUAACCCGUUUUAUUCAUGCCAAAAUGGCAAACUGGUUUAUCCACAAUGGUUUUUUUUUUCUUGGGUGCAAAUUCACUUGUAGUGGCGUCGGCUAAAUAUAUUUUGUCUCAUAACAAAUGGUAUUUCCUCCACAUGUGAUAUGUAUAUAUUGUCCUUUGUUUGUAAGGUAGUUAAUAACUACCAACUAUCACUGGUAGUGAGCUUCUUCAUCCUCUUUUUAGGAACACGAAAGCUGUUUGAUGAAAUGCCGGGUACGAAUUCUUUUUCUUGGAAUAUUAUUAUAUCUAGUUAUGCUCAGUAUGUGUUUUGGUAACGAGUGCAUUAUGUUGUCAUUAAAUCCUGAUGUAUAUUUUGACACUGUGAUUGUGAACAUGUAGGCCAAAUGUGAGCUUUUAGAUAGUUCUAUAGUUGUUUUUGACAGGAUGAGUGAGAAAAUGCUGACUGGUCUAAUGGUAGGUUAUGCACAAGCUGAGGAACUCAAAGAAACUCUGGUUCGAACCCUUUUAUAUAUGCAAUAGUAUCUUUAAAGUGUGUCUGGUGCUUGUUGAUUUGAAUUUGGCAAAUACACACUGAUUCAACUAGUUAGAGGUAUUUUGAUCUCUGACUUUAUGGUGAGAAUGCAUAUGUGUAGCCACUCAGGAUUGGUUUUACAAGCAAGGCAAUAUCUAGACUCUACGAAAAGUUAAUUUUGUUGUUGAUGCAACCAUCGAGCAUCACAAUUGUAUGAUUGAAAGACACACUGGAAUCUAUAACUAUGCCAUUUGAACCUAAUAUUUUGAGCUGGCAGAGUUUAUUGGGUUUGGGUGGAUUGUUGGAGCUAUAGAAAUGAAAAGAUUGAAAAAACUGCAUCCGGAAGUCUAGAAGAGAAAAGAACAGCUUCUUGGUCAUAGCGAGAGGCUUUUAAUUGUUGCCGGUUAUUGACCUUCAAAAGCCUCCAUGCUUGCCCCGAAUUCCAUCAGUUUAAGUAUGGGAAAUGUUCCAGCACCAAUUACUAGUGAAAAGCAGUAUCUCACCGAACAAAUGUUCUCAGCAUUAAAUUAUUUUGCACAAGCUGCAAUUACAGUUUUGUUGAGGAUCCCUUCUCUCAUUCGGGCGUAAUACGGGUGAAAAGGGUGGAAGAAUCACUAAUCAUAUAACACCAGACAGCUGGAUAUAGAGGCAGUCACACACACAUAUAGAACCAGAAUUACACAACUUGAUCUGGCCUUGGCAUAUUUAGCCUCUUGAAGCAAGUGAAUGCCCCAUCUACUACAAGGUUAUGACCUGAUAUGUACUUUGCUUCAUCAGAUGCUAAAAACACAGCUGCCCGAGCUAUAUC